AGUAGAACUGCUAAGCAAUAUGGUAGCUCUAUGUUUAACUUUUUGAGGAGCUGCCAAAUGUUUUCCAAAGUGGCUGCACUAUUUUACAUUCCCAGCAGCAAC
rnacentral:pre_miRNA from 1 species